CUUUCCUACAGAUCCACUCAUUGUGGUUGAAGAAGCUGCCGUGUUAUUGUGUAAUGCCGUUUUGUCUACAGAAGGCUUGAGUGCAGAGGCCUGCCCUGAACCCACAGACCUUCUAGCAGAGCUGAAAGACAUACGAGGACGAGAUUUGGUACUCGUACUCUCACCAUCCAACGGCUGAGCCAAGUUCUCCCGUUUGUCAGGAUAUUCUGCCUGAGGGAUCCUCUGAGACCUGCUGGGACUGUCAGCCCAAGCACUCAAGUCAAAGGUACUUCUCUGCAGCGUGUCUAAGAAGGAUCUUUGGUCUAGUUCAGGGUGGAUCUAUGUGGAAGGCAAAACAGUGUUUUUGAUCUAGAUAAUACAAAUCUUGUAAACAUAUUCAGCUCUUUUUCCCCUCAAUAUCCAAAU